rnacentral:rRNA from 1 species
AAGCAUUGUUUCUUAAUCUGAGUAUAUCAAUAUUACCUUGUUCAGAACUUAAAGAGAAAUCUUGAGUUUAUGGACUUCAGGGGGAGUAUGGUCACAAGGCUGAAACUUAAAGGAAUUGACGGAAGGGCACACCAGGAGUGGAGCCUGCGGCUUAAUUUGACUCAACACGGGAAAACUUACCAAGACCGAACAGUAGAAGGAAUGACAGAUUAAGAGUUCGUUCAUGAUUUAUUGGGUAGUGGUGCAUGGCCGUUCUUAGUUGGUGGAGUGAUUUGUCAGGUUAAUUCCGGUAACGAACGAGACUGAAACCUAUUAAUUAGUUUUCUGCCUAUAAGACAGAAAUGUUCGCAAGAACAGGUGCGUAAGUACCACUUCUUAAAGGGACACAUUUCAAUUGUCCUAUUUUAAUUGUAGUUAU